rnacentral:lncRNA from 1 species
CCCCAGAGUGCAGUGCAUGGCUGCCUUCUCUGUAAACCGUGGGGUGCAUAAACUCAGCUGGUUCUAAUUGCACAGGGCAUGCCAUAUUGUUGCCCGAUGUAAUGUCAAUUUUUAUUUAUUUGUGUUUGUGAAAAGCAGGGCUGAUUAGACCACUUAAAACUGCACAGGCUGGUUAGAGCCAGGCUGGCGUUAGUGAUUUCAGCUGCCCUCCCCAAAGUCAUCAGCGCUCCCAGCUCUCAGCCUCCCUCUGAGAAUAUAAAAUAGGGGCCUUGUGCUAUCAUGAUUUCUAUUUCAUCCUGACUCUUAUAAACUACCAUAUAAAAAGCAGCCGCUGAUGGUUUUUUUACAUUUCAAUUUCAUUUUGAGGCUUGGAAAAUCACAAAAUAAAAAUAGCCCUGAGAGUGGAAAGUUUGGGGGAGUUUGUUUAGCUUUCUUUGAAAUAUACUUUGUGAAGAAAUGUCAGUCAUGAGAUCUCUCUUGGUGGAGUGCUUUACUGUUGGUGUAAUUUUUUUACAUCGCUUUCUCCUGUGUAAUCCUAAGGGAGACCCUGUGAGGUGUGAAUGAUUACUAUCCUCAUUCUGCAAAUGAGACAGAAGCUCAGAGAGAUGAAAAGACUGGCCUGGGCCAAGAUGGCAUGACCGGGAAUGGCAGAGUCAGUCCAGUCUCCACCUGUGCUGCUCACUCCACGAACAAGGAUGGUGGCAGGAGUUGUGGUGCAGUGGCUCACACCUAUAAUCCCAGCACUUUGAGAGGC